GAUGAACGCUGUCUACAGGCUUAACACAUGCAAGUCGAGGGGAAACGACGGGGAAGCUUGCUUCCCCGGGCGUCGACCGGCGCACGGGUGAGUAACGCGUAUCCAACCUGCCUCUGACUGAGGGAUAACCCGUCGAAAGUCGGCCUAAUACCUCAUGGCAUCGUCUGCGGGCAUCCAACGACGAUUAAAGAUUUCAUCGGUCAGGGAUGGGGAUGCGUCUGAUUAGCUUGUUGGCGGGGUAACGGCCCACCAAGGCUACGAUCAGUAGGGGUUCUGAGAGGAAGGUCCCCCAGAAUGGAACUGAGACACGGUCCAAACUCCUACGGGAGGCAGCAGUGAGGAAUAUUGGUCAAUGGGCGGGAGCCUGAACCAGCCAAGUAGCGUGCAGGAGGACGGCCCUAUGGGUUGUAAACUGCUUUUAUGCGGGGAUAAAGUGAGGGACGUGUCCUUCAUUGCAGGUACCGCAUGAAUAAGGACCGGCUAAUUCCGUG
rnacentral:rRNA from 1 species